CCAAGUUGUGACAACAAAAAGUGUGUCCAGAUCCUGUCAAAGUCCCCCGGGGGGGCAGGUGCACAAAACUCUCCUGGCUGAGGACCACCGAUCUGGGUGAGAGGCAGUAUUGGCCCAGACCAGAGCGGUAGAUGCAGGGGUGGGGAGAAGUGGGGAGAUUCUGUGUGUAUAUUGAAGGCAAAACACGCAGGAUUUGUAAAUAUAUUAAGUGUGGAGUAUGCGGAAAAGAAAAGAGUUGGGAUGAUUUUACAAUUUUGGGGGCCCGAGGCCCUGGAACAAUGAAGUUGCCAUUUGCUAAGAUGGGAAAGACUACGGGAGAAGCAAGUUUGAUGGGAAACAGGUGUUUGGUUUUGGAGAUGGCGGCUGAGUUCACAUGGGGAUGCCAAACCAGCAGCUGAACACAUGAGUUUGGCAUUCAGGGGUGAGGUCCAGGCUGGAGGCAUAAAUAUGGGCACCGUUAGGACAUAGGGUUCAAGCUCUGAGAAGAAGUGGGCUUACCUAUGCAGUGAGUAUGGACAGAGGUGUGUUUGGCAACACGAUAAGGCAGUUUCAUGAUAUCUGUCCCCUGGUGUUUGUCCUGUGAGUGUGGACAGGAGUGUGUAUGGGACCUAGGACUUGCUUUUAACCAGUAGAAUUUGGCAAGGUAAGAGGAUGUCACUAUUAUGAUCUCAUUAUAUUAAAUCAGAUUGUUUUACUGAUUGGAGUGAGAGGCUCUCCUGGACUUGAAGAAGCAAAGAGCCAAGUUCAGAAUCACCCGUGGAGAGAGUUAGAUGGCAGGAAACCGCAGGCGGCCUCUGGGGGCUGAGGAUGGUCUCCAGUUAACAGCCUGGAAAAUCUCCCUGCCCCCCCAGCGUGGGCUGCCCCCCCAAAUCACACAGCUACAAGGAAAUGAGUUCCGCCAACAACUUGAGUGAGUUUGGAAGCAGAGCCUUCCGUAGCGGAACCUGCAGGAAGCGAGAGGAGUAUCCUGAUAUCAGACCCAAGAAUGGGCAUAUCACCUAUCCUACAGAGCACACGUGGAGUUUGGAUCUGGAAAUGGACUCCCUUAAAAUGAUCUUCACACAAGGAUUCUUUAUAGAGAUUUUUUCAACUACCCUUGCAGACAUGGUACCCUACACCCACAGAAAAAGGUCAUUUGUCUUCUGACUGGAAGGAUCCAUUGGAAAGAGAACUAUUGAUAUUGACCCUGGGAGUAGAGUCCUGGAGAGGGCUGGAGGGAACAAAUCCCAGACACAAGGAAG